rnacentral:rRNA from 1 species
GAUUGAACGCUGGCGGCAUGCUUUACACAUGCAAGUCGAACGGCAGCGCGGGCUUCGGCCUGGCGGCGAGUGGCGAACGGGUGAGUAAUACAUCGGAACGUGCCCAGUAGUGGGGGAUAGCUCGGCGAAAGCCGGAUUAAUACCGCAUACGACCUGAGGGUGAAAGCGGGGGAUCUUCGGACCUCGCGCUAUUGGAGCGGCCGAUGGCAGAUUAGCUAGUUGGUGGGGUAAAGGCCUACCAAGGCGACGAUCUGUAGCUGGUCUGAGAGGACGACCAGCCACACUGGGACUGAGACACGGCCCAGACUCCUACGGGAGGCAGCAGUGGGGAAUUUUGGACAAUGGGCGAAAGCCUGAUCCAGCAAUGCCGCGUGUGUGAUGAAGGCCUUCGGGUUGUAAAGCACUUUUGGCGGGAACGAAAAGGACUGUGCCAAUACCACGGUUCGAUGACGGUACCCGCAGAAUAAGCACCGGCUAACUACGUG